AUUUUGUGUGCCUUUUAACUUGUUUAUGCCCAUGUCUAAUUUUGUGCGCCUUUUAACUUUUUUUUUUAUGUACAGUAGUUAAUUACCUAGUUUUAUAUGUAUAUAGAUAGAUGGAAGACAAUGAUAUUACAAGGGGCAAUGGAAGAGGUGCUGGUAUAAGCAUCAACAAAGUUAAGGGAAAUAAGGGAGGUAAGCAUAAAACUACUUUGUCACAUUCUUCUAGAUUACAAGCACCUAGGCCUGCAGAAACCCAACAAUCCCUAUCUCAAACACAUACUAACUUCCCACCUUUCCUCUCUACUUCAAGUCCACAAAUGUCUAAUGUCCAUGCUCCCACUUCUCAAAUACCUACAAAUACCCAACAACCCCACUCUACAAUGAAACCUACACAUCAUCUUACAUCUAAAACACCUUCAAAUAUCCAACAAUCCUUAUUUACAAAGCAUCCUACACAUCAUCCCAUAUCUCAAACACAUACAAACUUCCCACCUUUCCUCUCUACUUCAAGUCCACAAAUGUCUACUUUCCAUGCUCCCACUUCUCAAAUACCUACAAAUACCCAACAACCCCACUCUACAAGGAAACCUACACAUCAUCUUACAUCUAACACACCUUCAAAUAUCCAAUUUCCACAACCUACAAGGCAACUGAAACAUCAUCCCAUAUCUCAAACAUUUACAAAUUUCCCACCUUUCCUCUCUACUCCAAGUCCACAAAUGUCUACAAUUCAUGCUCCCACCUCUCAAAUACCUACAAAUAUCCAAUCUCCCCACUCUACUCCUAGUCCACCACAUCUUUCUAAUACACAUAGACCAUAUGAUGUUGUAUCUUGUGGUGAUCCACAUGUAUCAUCAUCAUUAUGUGAUGAUUCGUAUCUGAUAGCUG
rnacentral:lncRNA from 1 species